rnacentral:tRNA from 1 species
GGGCGCUUGGCUCAGUUGGUUAGAGCGCCACGUUUACACCGUGGAUGUCAGAGGUUCAAAUCCUCUAGCGCCCA